rnacentral:rRNA from 1 species
UACGUAGGGAGCAAGCGUUGUCCGGAAUCACUGGGCUUAAAGGGCGCGUAGGCGGCUGCUCAAGUCCGGGGUGAAAUCUUUCAGCUCAACUGGAAAAUAGCCUCCGAUACUGGGUAGCUCGAGGGAGAUAGGGGCAUGCGGAACUUCCGGUGGAGCGGUGAAAUGCGUAGAUAUCGGAAGGAACGCCGGUGGCGAAAGCGGCGUGCUGGAUCGCUUCUGACGCUGAUGCGCGAAAGCCAGGGGAGCAAACGGG